rnacentral:ncRNA from 1 species
GUCAGCAUAUAUAGAAAUAUGUAUGUAGAGAUAGCGACUUAAAAAGCUAUCCAAUACUACUUGAAUUGCUGGAAACCCCUAAAGCUAGUAUAACUACAACAUAACACCUUAAAAUAAGAUGCAAGUGUGAAAGUGGCGAAAGCAGAAAAAAUAUACUAGAUGACAUAAGGUUAAAUCCUAAGUGUUAAGAUAAUGGGCAAUCAGCAGCCAAGACCGUAAGGUAAGGUUCAACGACUAUUCCUCUUGAGGGAAGUACACCAAAGCUGGUGGAAGUGGGUAGACCCAAACAGAUAAAGCUGUGGGAUAAGAUAUAGUCUGUGCUUAAUAGAAAUAUUAAG